rnacentral:rRNA from 1 species
UACGUAGGGGGCAAGCGUUGUCCGGAAUCAUUGGGCGUAAAGCGCGUGUAGGCGGCUAUGCAAGUCGGAUGUGAAAGCCCUCGGCUCAACCGGGGAAGUGCACCCGAAACUGCAAAGCUAGAGUCUCGGAGAGGAUCGUGGAAUUCUCGGUGUAGAGGUGAAAUUCGUAGAUAUCGGGAGGAACACCAGUGGCGAAGGCGGGCAUCUGGGCCAACACUGACGCUGAGGCGCGAAAGCUAGGGGAGCAAACAGG